rnacentral:rRNA from 1 species
UACAGGGGGGGCAAGUAUUAUUCUACAUGACUGGGCGUAAAGGAUAUGUAGGCGGUUUUUUUAAAUGCUAAAUAAAAAGCCAUAUUAAAAUUAUGGACAUUUUAGUAUAUUGUAAAACUUUGGGUUUAUAAAAGAUAAUAGAACCCACUGGAGUAAUAGUGAAAUGUCUUAAUACUGGGGGGAAUUCCAAAUGGCGAAAGCAUUUAGCUUGCUAAAACUGACGCUGAAAUAUGUAGGUGUGGGUAGCGAACAGG